rnacentral:rRNA from 1 species
GGGSGUKCUUUAMCAUGCAAGUCGAACGAUGAUGCCCAGCUUGCUGGGUGGAUUAGUGGCGAACGGGUGAKUAACACGUGAGUAACCUGCCCUUGACUUCGGGAUAACUCCGGGAAACCGGGGCUAAUACCGGAUAUGAGCCGCUCUCGCAUGGGGGUGGUUGGAAAGUUUUUCGGUCAGGGAUGGGCUCGCGGCCUAUCAGCUUGUUGGUGGGGUGAUGGCCUACCAAGGCGACGACGGGUAGCCGGCCUGAGAGGGCGACCGGCCACACUGGGACUGAGACACGGCCCAGACUCCUACGGGAGGCAGCAGUGGGGAAUAUUGCACAAUGGGCGAAAGCCUGAUGCAGCGACGCCGCGUGAGGGAUGAAGGCCUUCGGGUUGUAAACCUCUUUCAGCAGGGAAGAAGCGCAAGUGACGGUACCUGCAGAAGAAGCGCCGGCUAACUACGUGCCAGCAGCCGCGGUAAUACGUAGGGCGCAAGCGUUGUCCGGAAUUAUUGGGCGUAAAGAGCUCGUAGGCGGUUUGUCGCGUCUGGUGUGAAAACUCGAGGCUCAACCUCGAGCUUGCAUCGGGUACGGGCAGACUAGAGUGCGGUAGGGGAGACUGGAAUUCCUGGUGUAGCGGUGGAAUGCGCAGAUAUCAGGAGGAACACCGAUGGCGAAGGCAGGUCUCUGGGCCGCAACUGACGCUGAGGAGCGAAAGCAUGGGGAGCGAACAGGAUUAGAUACCCUGGUAGUCCAUGCCGUAAACGUUGGGCACUAGGUGUGGGGCUCAUUCCACGAGUUCCGUGCCGCAGCAAACGCAUUAAGUGCCCCGCCUGGGGAGUACGGCCGCAAGGCUAAAACUCAAAGGAAUUGACGGGGGCCCGCACAAGCGGCGGAGCAUGCGGAUUAAUUCGAUGCAACGCGAAGAACCUUACCAAGGCUUGACAUGCACGGGAAGCCACCAGAGAUGGUGGUCUCUUUGGACACUCGUGCACAGGUGGUGCAUGGUUGUCGUCAGCUCGUGUCGUGAGAUGUUGGGUUAAGUCCCGCACGAGCGCACCCUCGUCCAUGUUGCCAGCGGGUUAUGCGGGAACUCAUGGUAGACUGCCGGCUCACUCGGAGGAAGUGGGUAUGACGUCAAUCAUCAUGCCCCUUAUGUYCUUUGGGGGU